rnacentral:rRNA from 1 species
GUACACGCUGUGACUAGCAUAUCAAUAAGCGGAGGAAAAGAAACUAACAAGGAUUCCCCUAGUAACGGCGAGUGAAGCGGGAAGAGCUCAAAUUUGAAAUCUUAAAGGGUUUCCCUUUACGAAUUGUAGUUUAAAGAAGUGUUUUCUGUUGAGGUUUUGGUAAAAGUUCUUUGGAAUAGGACAUCAUAGAGGGUGAGAAUCCCGUAUUUGACCUUUACUUUCAACUUUGUGAUACACUUUCAAAGAGUCUGGAUUGUUUGGGAAUGCAGUCCAAAAUGGGUGGUAAAUUUCAUCUAAAGCUAAAUAUUGGCGAGAGACCGAUAGCGAACAAGUACCGUGAGGGAAAGAUGAAAAGAACUUUGAAAAGAGAGUUAAACAGUACGUGAAAUUGUCAAAAGGGAAGCGUUUGACACCAGUGUUGUUUUUCUGAAAAUCAAUUAAAGAACUGUUUAUGCUAAGCUGUUUAGACUUUAUCAGCUAAUCUGUUUAGUUUUGAGCUUUUCUUUAAUGCACUUUUCAGUUAACAAGUCAACAUCAAUUUCUUUUGCUGUAAAAAAGCUUGAGGAAGGUGGCUUGAGAUUCGUCUUAAGUGUUUAUAGCCUCUUGCCUAUGCAGUCGGAGAGAUUGAGGUCUGCAGCGUAGAUCCUUCGGGGCUAAAUGCAUUUGUGCUAAGUUAUAGCAUUUUAUAGACAACUUGUUGACUAUGAUUUGUCUUGUAGCUUACUCGCUUAUGUUAUUUUACCUACGCUUAGGAUGUUGACUGAUAUGUAGUCGUA